GGGCCUCGCAAGUCCCCGGUUAAAUCCACGUGCUCAACCCGUGGCAGGCUGGGGAUACUACAAGGCUUGGGAGCGGGAGAGGCAGCGGGUACCCAUGGGGUAGCGGUGAAAUGCGAUAAUCCCAUGGGGACCACCGGUGGCGAAAGCGCGCUGCUAGAACGCGUCCGACCGUCAUGGGUGAAAGCCUGGGUAGCGAACGGGAUUAGAUACCCCGGUAGUCCAGGCUGUAAACGAUGCCCGUUAAGUGUGGCACUAGCCAAGAGCUAGCGCCGUGCUGCAGCGAAAGCGUUAAACGGGCCGCUUGGGAA
rnacentral:rRNA from 1 species